rnacentral:tRNA from 1 species
GCGGUGUAGCUCAGUUGGUAAGAGCAUGCGGCUCAUAUCCGCAGGGUCGGGGGUUCAAAUCCCUCCACCGCC